rnacentral:rRNA from 1 species
CCUACGGGUGGCAGCAGUGGGGAAUAUUGCUCAAUGGGCGAAAGCCUGACGCAGCGACGCCGCGUGCGGGAUGAAGGUCUUCGGAUCGUAAACCUCUGUCAGCAGGGAAGAACGGUCACUGUGCUAAUCAGCAGUGAAUUGACGGUACCUGCAAAGGAAGCACCGUCUAACUCCGUGCCAGCAGCCGCGGUAAUACGGAGGGUGCGAGCGUUAAUCGGAAUUACUGGGCGUAAAGCGCGCGUAGGCGGUAUGUCAAGUCAAGGGUGAAAUCCCCGCGCUCAACGUGGGAACUGCCUUUGAAACUGGCAAACUUGAGUGCGUGAGAGGAUAGUGGAAUUCGAGGUGUAGGAGUGAAAUCCGUAGAUAUCUGGAGGAACAUCAGUGGCGAAGGCGACUAUCUGGCACAUAACUGACGCUGAGGAGCGAAAGCGUGGGUAGCAAACAGGAUUAGAUACCCGGGUAGUC